GACGAACGCUGGCGGCGUGCUUUACACAUGCAAUUCGAACGGAAAGGCCUGCUUUCCCUUGUGGAUUUCGGGUACUCGAGUGGCGAACGGGUGAGUAACACGUGAGUGAUCUGCCCCCAACUUGGGUAUAAGCCUGGGAAACUGGGUCUAAUUCCCGAUAGGACUUCAGGGUGGUGCCUGUUGUUGAAAACGAUUUUCUAGUGUUUGGGGAUGGGCUCGCGGCCUAUCAGCUUGUUGGUGGGGUAAUGGCCUACCAAGGCGGCGACGGGUAGCCGGCCUGGGAGGGUGGACGGCCACAUUGGGACUGAGAUACGGCCCAGACUCCUACGGGAGGCAGCAGUGGGGAAGAUUGCACAAUGGGCGGAAGCCUGAUGCAGCGACGCCGCGUGGGGGAUGACGGCCUUCGGGUGGUAAACUCCUUUCGACCGCGAGGAAGCCACCUGGUUGGAAGGGUGGUGACGGUAGUGGUAGAAGAAGCACCGGCUAACUACGUG
rnacentral:rRNA from 1 species